GCAAAUAAAGCCAUUUUGAAUGCAAGGAAGAGCACUCCAGUCACUUACCUUGCAAAUUGGGCGGUGUGGAUCUCGAAGAUUGACAAAGGAGAGCUGGAUUACCUUGUUGUUGACAUGCCCCCUGGAAUUGGUGAUAUUCAGCUUCCUUUGUGCCAGGUCUUGCUUUCUUUCCAUAUGCACUUUAAUUUUUUCUUUUUAUUUAGGGGUCCAGAUUAAGAGAAUUCCAUUAAUCAAAUUGUGCAUUCUCCUUCAUAUUUGUGUGAUUAACUAUUAGUUUGUAUCUAGUAUGUUGUAUGUGAAUAUUUUACCCAAGUUUUUUCCUAUUCAAGAUUUCUAGGUUUUGAUUUGGACAAAGUUCUGGAUUUCAAGUAGUUCCAUUGAUUGCUGCUGUUAUUGUUACCAUCCCUCAAAAGCUAGCAUUUAUUGAUGUCGCAACGCAUGUUUUCAAGGAUGAAGGGUUAAUUUUGAGCACUCAGUCCGAUUGUGUCAACUGAUUUUGACCAAAUUGCGAACUGUCUGGCUAGCAGUGACAUUGACUCCAUCUUAAGAAUUUUUAGCAGAAGUUUAAGCUCUCUGUUCAAAUCUUCAAGCUCUUCUGCAUAACCCCUCACACAACACAUUCGUGCAUAUUGACUCCACCUUAAGCCUUCCUAGCAGGAUUUGAAGCUCCAGGUUUAAAUCUUCAAGGUCUUCUCCAUAUCUCCUCACGCAACAGCACCAUACAUGCAGAUUUAGAACACUAACACUUGACAAUUUGUGAAGGAGCUCUACAUCGUCAUUCAUUUUCCUCUCUAGCUCUUCCAAUUAUCUUGUUGAAAGGCUGAGAUGCAAGUUGUGCUAUCUUAGCUGCUCAACAACAUGUGGCUGGAGUUUUCUUAGACUACAUUCCAGCAGCUUCAGUUGAGUCUUGAACAUCUUAGUAUUCUCAAGCGCUAACUUAACCCCAUCGGACAGGAGCUGAAAGGGUGCUCCUGCGAGAAAAUCAAGAGCCAUGGUGCAACCUGAACAAAAGAUAUAUUAGUGUGAAGAAGAUAAACUGAUGAUUUUGAAUUGUAUUUCACCCUAAGUAGUAAUUUGUAAAAAAAAUUGAAUUUGGGAGUUAUAUAUUGAAUUGAUAGAAGCUUCCUAAA